GCUGAUCUGACAGGAGGCGGAGCUCAGGCAGUAAUAUUUGCUCACCCUGCCCCCCAUCACCUCCUGUUGUGCGGCCCGGUUCCUAGCAGGCCACGGACUGAUGAUGCACCUAAAGUUGAAAAGCUGACUUCCACCUCCUGGGCAACGUGGCUCAGGUUUGUGCGCAGGUCAAGACAAAACUGAUGUCAACACCAGGAAUGAAGGAGAAAUCUGUGGCUUAAUGAAGGUGGAGACCCAGCGUGAAGGAGGCUGUGUCUGUAAGGCAGGGAAAAAAGCCUUCACCAGGAACCAGUGCUGGCACCCUGAUGUCAGACUUCAAGCCUCCAAAGCUGUGAGGGUACUGGUAGCCGCAUAAAACAAGUUGGGGCAUAUUCCAACAAAAUAGAACAUUUUGUGAAAGAGUGUAUAUGAAAAAGUUACUUCUUCCUUGAAUGUGUAAUAGAAUUCACCAGUGGAACCACCAGGGAUUGACAAUUUCUUUAUGGGUAGCCCUACAAUUUCAACCACAUCCUUGCCAAAGCUUUGGUGACUAGAGUGCUCUGGGAUCCUGAGAAGAAGAAAAGAAAAUGAGACCAAUAUUGAGACAGGACAAAUUAAAUUAUUGAAGAUCUUCGUGUC
rnacentral:lncRNA from 1 species